rnacentral:rRNA from 1 species
UACGCAGGUCCCGAGCGUUGCCCGGAUUUAUUGGGCGUAAAGCGAGCGCAGGUGGUUUAUUAAGUCUGGUGUAAAAGGCAGUGGCUCAACCAUUGUAUGCAUUGGAAACUGGUAGACUUGAGUGCAGGAGAGGAGAGUGGAAUUCCAUGUGUAGCGGUGAAAUGCGUAGAUAUAUGGAGGAACACCGGUGGCGAAAGCGGCUCUCUGGCCUGUAACUGACACUGAGGCUCGAAAGCGUGGGGAGCAAACAGG